rnacentral:rRNA from 1 species
GACGAACGCUGGCGGCGUGCCUAAUACAUGCAAGUAGAACGCUGAAGGAGGAGCUUGCUCUUCUGGAUGAGUUGCGAACGGGUGAGUAACGCGUAGGUAACCUGCCUGGUAGCGGGGGAUAACUAUUGGAAACGAUAGCUAAUACCGCAUAACAGUAGAUGUUGCAUGACAUUUACUUAAAAGGUGCAAUUUCAUCACUACCAGAUGGACCUGCGUUGUAUUAGCUAGUUGGUGGGGUAACGGCUCACCAAGGCGACGAUACAUAGCCGACCUGAGAGGGUGAUCGGCCACACUGGGAAUGAGACACGGCCCAGACUCCUACGGGAGGCAGCAGUAGGGAAUCUUCGGCAAUGGACGGAAGUCUGACCGAGCAACGCCGCGUGAGUGAAGAAGGUUUUCGGAUCGUAAAGCUCUGUUGUAAGAGAAGAACGAGUGUGAGAGUGGAAAGUUCACACUGUGACGGUAUCUUACCAGAAAGGGACGGCUAACUACGUG